GUAGGGCUAUCGAGAUAGUCCCCAGGAUAAAGAUAGGGGACAGGUUCCUCAUCUUCUUCUGUUCUUCUUUCUUCGCUAGGUGGGAGGUCAGGGCUGUCUGCCCCGGUUCGUACCUCACUGGAAUCACUUGCUUCCCUCUCUAGGUCUGGUCUAGGAACCUUUUUUUACUCGGGAUGCAUGGAUCCAGGUAUGCUGAAAAGGCAUUCUUCAAAUCAAUUACAGAGAACGCAGCAUCUGCAGGGAUUGCAGAAAUGAGUGAGUUUACAUCUGGAACAAUUGGUGCAAUUGGGACAAUUAGCUGAUUGAUCGCUCUGAGAUUCUGUACAAAUCUUAUACUGCCAUCAGCUUUGGCAACAGGGUUCACAGGAGUACAGUAUGGUGAUACAAUAUGUCUGAGAUACCCUGUUGUAAGAAUUGCUGUAUCAUGGGGCGGAGACCUUCUAUCUUUUCUGGUGAGAGGGGAUACUGCAUAAGUCAGAACACAAAACACUGGUUGUUGCACCGCUGUCCACUAAAAAGGGAAUUUUACUUCCAUUUAUAAUAAGUGGCAGCAGAGGUGAAUCUUUACUAUGACGGGAGAGUUGAAUAAAGGCUGGGAUGCCCUCCUCCGGGCCCCGUCAGUGCGCGGGGUCUUUGGAAUCUUUACUGACUGCGGGGUUGGUUCUGUCUGUCAAAGCGUCUGGAGUUCUGAUAGUUAUGAGUGAGUGGGGAAGUGAGUAAGCUUUCUGAGUUAAGCAAAGGUAAGCCAGCGUCAUCUGUCCAGCAGUCCUUAAACCUUUUCCAAAACGCAGUAACAGACUAUGAAGGUUUCUGUUUACAAGCUACAGCGACAGGCAAAAAAAGACUUCCUUCAUAUGUGUAUAGCUGCGUCCUUUGCAAGCUUUGCGCAAAUAAGAUAUACAGCCAUCGAGGGUAAUAGUGGGCUUGGGACAGUCCCAUUUGGUGUGAAAGGGUUACUGCUGCCAAGAGAUCUGUGUCUCCGAGCGCAGGAUACAUUGGAAUGCAAAGGGGGGAGGCGAGAGGGAUCUCUCUGCAGCCUCGCUUCUGUGCUGUUGGGAACUGACAUUUUUUCUUAAAUCUCCAUAUAGAAAAGGUAAUUACUGCCUUCCCGUAGGAAUGGGUCCUGUCCUGCUUUCUCUGUCCAUCCCGCUAAAUUAUCCACCCAUGGGUUAACUAAGUAAUACUCUGAGGUAGAGUUACGGGCAACAUACAUCUUGCAUGUCUCACCAGGGAGGGGCGGGGGAUAUGCAGUUUUUUUGUCAGACAGUAAUAUAAAUCAACAAUACAACUUUUAAAAGAAAAUUAUCUAAAAUAUACAACACUCUACUUACUAUACAUGCAUCAGCUAACCAGUUAAUUAGUCAUUGACAAUAUCACAAUAUUAUCUGUACAGUGAGAACAUGAAAUCUUUUGACGGGUACGCUUACCUUCGUACAAGAUGUCAGAAAAAUACAGCGUUUUAAACAGGAAGCAAGAAAAGUGUUUGAGUAAAGAUAUCUGGCAGACGAAAACUUACCAGCCGUCUGGACCAAAUAUAAGAACUUAUCUCACUACAAACAUACAAAAAUAUAUAGGCGAUCAAAUCGGGGUAUUCUCUACGUUACGUAUAGACCCCAGGUCUAUAUUUUUAAGUAUCCCAGAUACUGACGUCUUUGGAGAAUUGCGCUUGGACGCCUGGUCCUUUCUCAGACGUAUCUUUAAGUCCCAGACAUUAAAGAUUCUAUGGUAUCCCUGAUACCUGUUUUAUGCUUUUACAUAAAACUUCGUAAUAUUAAGUCCCGGACUUAAAUAUUACCUUGUCACGUGUUCCCGGAACACUGACACGGAUUCAGCUUCAGUGUAUGACCGCAAUCCUGUAUGGCAAAGACAGACAAUAAAUUCUCUAUUUUUACCAUUCAGGGACGAUCACUGAAUUCCGGACAUAGCCCCCAGCUGAAAGGAUAUGACCUUAUAUUCUUAACCCUCGAUGUGAUGGCCUCUUAGACGUCUGGAGUGUGAACUUUUAGCCACAAGGCACACUAUGUAUCUUUUAUAUAUCAAUUCCGGGACUCUUUACAUCAUAGUAUGCUGCCUCUAUUGGAAAACUACACAUCCCAUGGAUCCUUUCACCAGGAUUACAUCACUUCCGGGUUUGACACUUUCCUGCCUGAAUAUAGGCAAUUGGACUCCAGUGGACUACAUUUCCCACAUGCCCCGGGACAGGAUGUUGCAUCGAGGAUGUCUGACCAUUUUAUAGUACACAGAAACUCCAAUUUCCAGAAUGCCUGAGACCCAUAAUUUCCGGCCAACGUGAACGUUUUUAUUAUAGUUUUACCUAUUCAGUGUCUCCACAGGAUUGCAAUAGAUGUUUAUAAGAAUGUGAAUGAGUAACACUGUGAUCUAUUUGCUGUGAAAAUUGCAAAGAGGAUAAAUACCACAUAAUAAUAACCAAUUCUAACCAUACUUGCCUACCUGACCCUCUCCAUGAGGAGAAAAUGCUCUGUU